rnacentral:rRNA from 1 species
GACGAACGCUGGCGGCGUGCUUAACACAUGCAAGUCGAACGGGCCCGCUCUCUUUUUUGGGGGUGGGUUGAGUGGCGAACGGGUGAGUAUCACGUGAGUAACCUGCCCCCUGCUCCUGGAUAACUGCUUGAAAGGGCGGCUAAUACGGGGUGUGCCGGCUGGUCCGCAUGGGCCUGGUCGGGAUAGUUUCUUCUUCGGGUGUUUCGGUGGGGGAUGGGCUCGCGGCCUAUCAGCUUGUUGGUGGGGUGAUGGCCCACCAAGGCGGUGACGGGUAGCCGGCCUGAGAGGGUGGGCGGCCACACUGGGACUGAGACACGGCCCAGACUCCUGCGGGAGGCAGCAGUGGGGGGUAUUGCACAAUGGGCGGAAGCCUGAUGCAGCGACGUCGCGUGAGGGAUGGAGGCCUUCGGGUGGUGAACCUCUUUCUCCGGUGGUGAAGGCCCUGUCCGUUGCGGCGGGGUUGACGGUAGCCGGGGAUGAAGCGCCGGCUAACUACGUG